AAGACCACGAAGAAGCAGCCCCUUCGCUUCUCCCGACCCGCUUCUCUAACGCAGAAGUGCGGCAAAGGCCCCGCUGAGCGCGGUUCAGGUGACUCUGAGACUGUUUAGAUUAGUUAAGGGGGGGUAAGCUGCCCUCGGCUCUACAUUGUAUUUCCAAGUUUGAUGCCUACAUCCAGUUCCCAAAUUGAACUUCCAGAUCCCGGAUUCGAAACUACCGGCUCCCAGAGUUGCCAGUUCGAAUCUAACAGCUGUCUGUACUCUGAUUUCCCCGACCUUCCCAGCGCUCCAAGUUCAAAUUCCAACCCCAACCGAAGUUCCCAGGCGACUCCUCCAGACCCUGGUCCACUAGCAAACCUUCCCCUGAUCUCGACUUCGAGUUUCCUCUGCGCCUCGGAAGGAUUGGGGUGGGGAUGGCGAAAAUGGGGACACCUCGCCUCUAAUUCCGCACAAGGGACUCAGGGCUGGGGGUAAAGUGGUGUGGACCGAAGCGGAGGCGCGGCAGAGGGAAGCAGUGACCCGGCCGGNNCCCGCCUCUAAACUUAGCCGCCGUGACGCGCGGCCGGGCUAUCGCGGCGGGGCCGGGGACGCAGGGGGGCCGGAGCGGAGGGGGAGCGGCUCCGCUCCGUGAGCCUCUAUUUAUAGCGCCCGGAACCCGAAAUAGCGAGGAGCGGAGCGGCCGGGAUGACGCGGAAGCCGCCGGGGACUGACUCACCCGGGCCCCGAGCGGCGGCCCCCGGAUGGGGGACAGUGGAGGCGCCUGGACCGGACCCCCGCCAUCCCGGACACUUCUUCUGCCUGGACAUCCCAAGUUUCCACGUGGCACUGUGGAUGGAUAUGCAGCCAAAGGAGGAGCUGCAGCAUGAGACCGAGGUUAGAGCAGAGGAAAAUACCCUGCAAGUUCCCACAGUGACCCCGGGAUCUUGGAGGAGGAGGUUCUGGGGACCUGAGUUCUGGUUCUGGNGGGGGAUUCUAACCUGCUGUGCCACAGCAGGAACUCCUAGUUUCUUGACCUUAAGCCAUGCUCUCCCCUGGAGGCACACCAUCACAUGUUAAAUCUGGACUUCAAGGAAGCCACACUCCUAGAUCCAUGGUCAAGACAUUGUCCACUGCUCUGAUGUCCAAUUUGGCAGCCACUUGGCUACAUAUGGCUUUCAAGCACUUGAAACGAGGCUGGUCCAAAGUGAGAUGAUGAGAUGAGUCAUGAGAAUAAAAUGCACACCAGAUUUCACAGACUUAGUGUGAUAAAAAGAACGUAAACUAUCUCAUUAAAAACCGCUGAGGAGGAGUUCCUGGACGUGGCUCAGUGGAAACGAAUCUGAGUAGCAUCCAUGAGGACACAGGUUGGAUCCCUGGCCUCGCUCAGUGGGUUAAGGAUCCAGCAUUGCCGUGAGCUGUGGUGUAGGUUGCAGACCCAACUCGGAUCCUGUGUUGCUGUGGCUAUGGUGUAGGCCAGCAGUUCUAACUCCGAUUUAACCCCUAGCCUGGGAACCUCCCUAUGGAGGUUGGCCCUAAAAAGCAAAAAAAAAAAAAAAAACCAAAAAAAACACGGGAAGGUAAAUUGGUGUAACCACUAUGGAAAACAGGGUGGAGAUUCCUCAAAACACUAAGCAUAGAAUUACCAUAUGACCAGCAAUUCUACUCCUGGGCAUCCAUCCAGAGAAAACCACAACUCGAAAAGAUACAUGUACCCCAAUGUUCAUUGCAGUAGGAUACACAAUAGCCAGGACAGAGCACAACCCAAAUGCCCAUCGACAGAGGAGUGGAUCAAGAAGAUGUGGUACAUAUAUGCCAUGGAAUAUUACUCAGCUGUUAAAAAAAUGAAAUAAUGACAUUUGCAGCAGCAUGGAUGGACCUAGAAAGUAUCACGGUGAGUGAAGUUCGUCAGAGAGUCAGACAGUGACAGACAAAGGUCACAUGCCAUCACUGAUGUGUGGAACCUAAAAAAAGGAUACAAAUGAACUUAUUUGCAGAACAGAAACGGGUUCACAGACUCUGAAAAACUUACGGUUACCAAAGGGGACAAGUGGGGAGAGGGAGGGGUGGACGAGGGGUUUGGGAUGGAAACGUUCUAAAAUUAGGCGAUGAUGAUGGUUGUACAACUAUAAAUAUAAUAAAAAUUCAUUGGAGGACUUCCCAUCGUGGCUCACUGAUUAACGAACCCAACUGGUAUCCAUGAAGAUGAGGGUUCGAUCCCUGGCCUGGCUCAGUGGGUUAAGGAUCUGGCAUUGCUGUGAGCUGUGGUGUAGGUCACAGAUGCGGCUCGGAUCCUGAGUUGCUGUGGCUCUGGUGCAGGGUGGCAGCUACAGCUGCAAUUCGACAGACCCCUAGCCUGGGAACCUCCAUAGGCUACAAGGUGGCCCUAAAAAGAAAAAAAAUAAAAAAAAAUAAAAAUUCAUUGGAUUAAAAAUAAAAUAAUAAACAUUGUAAAAAAGAAAAAGAAAAGGAGUUCCCGUCGUGGCUCAGUGGUUAACGAUCCAACUAGGAACUAUGGAGUUGCGGGGUU
rnacentral:lncRNA from 1 species